rnacentral:rRNA from 1 species
AUGGCUGGCCAUGCGCGCCUACGACGCGCUCAGCGCGCACGAGGCGGCCGCUCCAUGUACUUCGCCAACGACCUAGCUAGUCUACCGUGUCCGCCACGAGCCUGCCUCCUACAGACAUGUGCACGCACGCACCCCCCACGUCCCGCGCUCUCUGGCCACGUACCCGACGCGCACGUACGCAGUCGCCGCGGCCCGAGUCCCGCGCCCGACGUGGUCACUCCUUCACGCUUCUCGCCAACAGACAAUGGCCCACGCGCUCGUACGCGCGGACACACACGCACACAACCCCGCCGCGGACCCGACGCGCCUGACACGCCGCCGCGGCUUAUUCUGGCCAACACGAAACGAACAAACUCAUCUUCAGGCACCCCAAUGUUAGCUCGAGACGAUCAACUGCUGCACCUGGAGGCAGAAGGAAUCAUCUGUCACCAUUUUCUGAUGAGCUUGACAAUAAGCCACCAGACCUGA